rnacentral:rRNA from 1 species
UGAGGAAUAUUGGUCAAUGGUCGGAAGACUGAACCAGCCAAGUAGCGUGAAGGAUGAAGGUUCUAUGGAUUGUAAACUUCUUUUAUACGGGAAUAAAACCUCCCACGUGUGGGAGCUUGUAUGUACCGUAUGAAUAAGCAUCGGCUAACUCCGUGCCAGCAGCCGCGGUAAUACGGAGGAUGCGAGCGUUAUCCGGAUUUAUUGGGUUUAAAGGGAGCGUAGACGGGAGAUUAAGUCAGUUGUGAAAGGCUGCGGCUCAACCGCAGCACUGCAGUUGAUACUGGUUUCCUUGAGUGCGGUUGAGGUGUAUGGAAUUCGUGGUGUAGCGGUGAAAUGCUUAGAUAUCACGAAGAACUCCGAUUGCGAAGGCAGUACACUAAGCCGUAACUGACGUUGAGGCUCGAAAGUGUGGGUAUCAAAC